AGGACGAACGCUGGCGGCGUGCUUAACACAUGCAAGUCGAACGAGGUCCAUCCCGUCGCAAGACGGGGGAAGACCUAGUGGCGAACGGGUGAGUAACACGCGAGGAACGUGCCCCGGAGACCGGGAUAACAGCGGGAAACCGCUGCUAAUACCGGAUACCUUCCUUUGAUCGCAUGAUCAGUUGAAGAAAUGGAUUCCGCUCCGGGAGCGCCUCGCGGUCUAUCAGCUUGUUGGUGGGUAACGGCCUACCAAGGCGACGACGGAUAGCUGGUCUGAGAGGACGAUCAGCCACACUGGGACUGAGACACGGCCCAGACUCCUACGGGAGCAGCAGUGGGAAUCUUGCCAAUGGGCGAAAGCCUGAGGCAGCAACGCCGCGUGUGGGAUGAAGGCCCGUUGGUUGUAAACCACUUUACAGCGAAGGAACGAAAAGUGAACGGUACC
rnacentral:rRNA from 1 species